rnacentral:rRNA from 1 species
AGUGAACGCUGGCGGUAGGCCUAACACAUGCAAGUCGAACGGCAGCACAGUAAGAGCUUGCUCUUACGGGUGGCGAGUGGCGGACGGGUGAGGAAUACAUCGGAAUCUACUUUUUCGUGGGGGAUAACGUAGGGAAACUUACGCUAAUACCGCAUACGACCUACGGGUGAAAGCAGGGGAUCUUCGGACCUUGCGCGAUUGAAUGAGCCGAUGUCGGAUUAGCUAGUUGGCGGGGUAAAGGCCCACCAAGGCGACGAUCCGUAGCUGGUCUGAGAGGAUGAGCAGCCACACUGGAACUGAGACACGGUCCAGACUCCUACGGGAGGCAGCAGUGGGGAAUAUUGGACAAUGGGCGCAAGCCUGAUCCAGCCAUACCGCGUGGGUGAAGAAGGCCUUCGGGUUGUAAAGCCCUUUUGUUGGGAAAGAAAAGCAGCAGGUUAAUACCCCGCUGUUCCGACGGUACCCAAAGAAUAAGCACCGGCUAACUUCGUG